UGUGACAAAAAUACAAAAAAAAUAAGAGAUCAGGAAGGGGGCAAACACUUUUUCACACCACUGUAUAUAUUAAAGGCAAAGUUCAAGAUCAAGCUUUGGAUUUCGUCUGUAUGUCUACACAUAAACUCUGAGUACUGACGUCACAGAUGGAUCAAAGUAAUGGAUACGUCAGCCCCCAGCUGGCUCAAACAAUAGUACAAUAGUGUGGUCAAGAGCUUGUUAGGCUGUUGGUAAUGAAGUGAUCUCACAAAUUACAUUUAGUGCUCACCAAUACAGAUAAAGCACAAAUCAGAUUACAGUACCAACAUCGUCAGUUGGUACCCAAAAUUCACGCCCACUGGAGAAAACCAAUAUUUAUGCAGUAUAACACUGCAGAAAGAUAAAUAAAAUGUAAAUGUCUUCUUUUGGAUAGGAAUAUAUUUCUCGCCUUUGACCAAAUAAGUAUAUAAGUCAAAACAAACACCAAUGAUAUGUAUAUUGAUUUCUUGAAAUGAUUUUAAUCUCAGUUGGACUGCCUGAAACGGUUCUUACUGCGUCACUCAUAAAAACACACAUUACCACCUCUAAUACAUCCCUGUCAUUACUCUUACAUCAAAUAACAUCAUGUAUUUGUGAGGUAAACAUCUUAGUUUAAUAUUUUUGGUUGUAUAUGCAGAAAGGGUGAUUGCUGGGCCUUCUCUAUCCUGUCGACCUAAGUUUCCACUUCCUGUCCAGUCAGGUGGUGCUGCUUGGAGUCAUGGGCAGAACCAUCUGUUUAUCCAGUUAAUCGCCAUCCAACAUUUAUCUAAACACACAGUGUUGUAAGCCUUACUCUGGCUGGAAGUAUGAAAAGCAACAGAUAGGACACAAAUGGAAAUUAUAUACACACAGACACCACCAGAAACAGUGGGAACCUGAGGUAUUUUCUUAUGUCUGUAUAUGGAUGUGAACUUAGCGCAAUACUGGAUGGCUGGAAUUAUGAAUGUUACAUGAAGAAACAAGCGAGUCCUGCUGAACAGACAGUCAUGACAACAAACCAUCUGAGAAGUGAUGUGAGGAAGCUUCUUAGAUUUGAGAAAUCUUAGAUGAAGUUUGCAGACGACACAACGGUCAUGUGCCUCAUCCAAGAUGGUGGCAGGUCAGCAUACAGGCGGAAGGUUGAACAGCUGGCCCUCUGGUGCGUUCAGAACAACCUGGAGCUGAACACACUCAAAUCUGUGGAGAUGACAGUGGACUUCAGGAGAAGCCCCCCAUCACCAUAUUCAACAACAAAGUGUCUGCUGUGGAAGCCUACAGGUUUCUGGGAUCCACAAUCUCCCAGGACCUAAAGUACGAGUCCAACAUUGAUACCAUCAUCAAAAAGGCCCGGCAGAGGAUGAACUUCCUGCGCCAGCUCAGGCGCCUCAGGAGCUGCUGAUCCAGUUCUACUCUGCAAUAAUCCAGUCUGUUCUCUGCACAUCCAUCACUGUCUGGUUUGGAACGGCCACCAAACAGGACAGGAACAGACUACGACAGACAGUCUGGACGACCUGCCCUCCAUUUAGGACUUACACACGUCCAGAGUCAGGAAAUGGGCAGGAAACAUGACUGCAGAUUCAUCACACCCUGGACACAACCUGUUCCAACUUCUCCCCUCUGGUAGGCGCUACAGAGCACUGUACGCCAAAAGGCAGACCAGAAACAAGAACAGUUUCUACCCGCAGGCCAUCACUCUGAUGAACACUAAACACCAGUCACAUAGUGUCAGGAACAAUCCCUGUGCAAUAACCUCCACUGUACCUGUAGAUUUAUCGCAUUAUGUAAAUAUUAACACUUUUAAUUCUACGCAAGCUGUACAUAUUGUAUAUACUGUCAUAUCCACCACCUCACGUAUAUAAAACAACCCGUUACAUUAAUCAUAUUUAUUUCAGCACCAUUUGCACUCUGCACCUUUGCACUAAUUGUCUUACUGUUUCCAAAUGUUACUGUUGUUGUUUAUUAUACUUAAAUCUUUGCACAUAGCAGCUUAAUGUUUGUUUAACUUGCUGAGCUUGUUGUCCUUGUUUUUAGCUGUAUUUAUGUCUAUUUCUGUGUAUGUACAUUGAGAGCAACGAAAAACCAGAGUCAAAUUCCUUGUAUGUGUACACAUACCUGGCCAAUAAAACUGAUUCUGAUUUGUGCAUAUAAAACAUUUUAAUCAUCACAGCACAGAUUAAUACAAGAUUUUAUUGUGUUGUGGUAUCGAUGCUUAGAUGGCCUGGUGGCUCAGUGACAUUAUGAGCAAAUCAUGUACUCACAACACUAACGUUCUUAAUCUAGUCCACGGCUUUUCUAACACGAUGUUAUGUCUCUCUUUACUGUGUACUGUCUAAAUAAAGAGAUAGAUGUA